UACGAAGGGGGCUAGCGUUGCUCGGAAUUACUGGGCGUAAAGCGCACGUAGGCGGCUUUCUAAGUCGGGGGUGAAAUCCUGGAGCUCAACUCCAGAACUGCCUUCGAUACUGGGAGUCUCGAGUCCGAGAGAGGUGAGUGGAACUGCGAGUGUAGAGGUGAAAUUCGUAGAUAUUCGCAAGAACACCAGUGGCGAAGGCGGCUCACUGGCUCGGUACUGACGCUGAGGUGCGAAAGCGUGGGGAGCAAACAGG
rnacentral:rRNA from 1 species